GACGUAGGUGGCGAACGUUAUCCGGAAUUAUUGGGCGUAAAGGGUGCGUAGGCGGCAUGAUAAGUUAUUGGCGGUAAAUCGAGGCUCAACCUCGUGGAAACUGAUAAUACUGUUUUGCUUGAGUACAGGAGAGGUUAACGGAACUCCAUGUGGAGCGGUAAAAUGUGUAGAUAUAUGGAAGAACAUCAAUAAGGCGAAGGCAGUUAACUAUUCUGUUACUGACGUUGAGGCACGAAAGCGUGGGGAGCAAAAAGG
rnacentral:rRNA from 1 species